rfam:Zea mays cultivar B73 chromosome 6, whole genome shotgun sequence.
ACCUGUUUAGCUCAGUCGGUAAAGCACAAGGCUCUUAACCUUGUGGUUGUGGGUUCGAGCCACACGGUGGUUG